CCGGCCGCCAGCGGCGCUUGCAAAGUUCGGAUCCGCAAGGACCGGGCCAGCGGGACGUCCGCGUGGCAGGGUGCACUUUCUCCGCGGUCGAGUGCUACGACCGGUUUCGCGGCGGUCAGAAGCCCGGCGGAAAGGUAGCGCCGCCCCUCGGGGUGUCGUGUUAUAGGCCGCCGCGGUGGACUCGCCGCGAGACCGAGGACGCUUGCCGCGCCGAGCGGUCCCGGGCCGUCUUGGGAGGUUCGACCUCGGCUGCACUGCUCCGCAGAGCACCGUAACCGCCGCCCUAGCACGGGUCCGGAGACUGCCGGCGCCUCGGGUCAGUAGCG
rnacentral:rRNA from 1 species